rnacentral:rRNA from 1 species
UACGAAGGGGGAGCUAGCGUUGCUCGGAAUCACUGGGCGUAAAGGGCGCGUAGGCGGGAUGGCAAGUCGGUCGUGAAAUCCUUCGGCUCAACCGAAGAACGUCGGCCGAUACUGCUGUUCUUGAGGGAUGCAGAGGAGAUUGGAAUUCCCGGUGUAGCGGUGAAAUGUGUAGAGAUCGGGAGGAACACCGGUGGCGAAGGCGGUUCUCUGGGACGGUACUGACGCUGAGACGCGAAAGCGUGGGGAGCGAACAGGG